rnacentral:snoRNA from 1 species
AUGCAGGUAAAGUUACAAUGUAGCUGUUGAAGUGCUGUGUUGUCGUUCCCCCUGCAUAAAACAAAAUUGUCUCUAUUCUAUCUUUGUCUGUUUUGAUUCCGUAGCAGACAAAGACGCUUGGUUUCAUACAU